GCCAAGUGUGGUGAUACAUACCUGUAAUCUCAUAUACUGGGGAGGCUGAGGCUGUUGGGUCUCUUGAGAUCAGGAGUUCUGAGCUGCAGUGGGCUAUGCUGAUUGGGUGUCCUCAGUAAAUUUAGCAUUGAUAAGAUGAGUCCCCAGGAGCUGGGGACAAGUUUGCCUUAGGACCAUGUCGAAGGUUGUGUGUGAGUCAGACCUAUGAGUAGCCCCUGCUUUUCUAGCCUAGACAAGAUGGGGAGACACAGUCUU
rnacentral:SRP_RNA from 1 species